rnacentral:rRNA from 1 species
UACGUAGGGGGCAAGCGUUGUCCGGAAUCAUUGGGCGUAAAGAGCGUGUAGGCGGCUCGGUAAGUCUGCUGUGAAAGUCCAGGGCUCAACCCUGGAAUGCCGGUGGAAACUGUCGAGCUAGAGUCCGGAAGAGGCGAGUGGAAUUCCUGGUGUAGCGGUGAAAUGCGCAGAUAUCAGGAGGAACACCGAUGGCGAAGGCAGCUCGCUGGGACGGUACUGACGCUGAGACGCGAAAGCGUGGGGAGCAAACAGG